AAUGGAAUUUCUGGAUUACAUGGUAACUCUGUUUGAUUUUGAGGCUAGAUUGUUUUGCAAAAUGACUGCACCGUUUUGCAUUCCCAUCAGCAAU
rnacentral:pre_miRNA from 1 species